rnacentral:misc_RNA from 1 species
AACCAUAGAAACCUGCGGAGUACCUGCGGAAGGAUCAUUACAGAGUUCAUGCCCUCACGGGUAGAUCUCCCACCCUUGAAUACUAUACCUUUGUUGCUUUGGCGGGCCGCCUUGGCUACUGGCUCCGGCUGGUAAGUGCCCGCCAAAGGACCCCAAAACUCUGAAUAUUAGUGUCGUCUGAGUACUAUAUAAUAGUUAAAACUUUCAGCAACGGAUCU